rnacentral:rRNA from 1 species
UAGUAGCGGCGAGCGAAACGGCAGGAGGGCAAACCGAAGUGUUUACACUUCGGGGUUGUAGGACUGCGAUAUAGGAUUAAUCAUUAUAGAAGAAUUACCUGGGAAGGUAAGCCAAAGAGAGUAACAGCCUCGUAUUUAAAAUGAUAGAUUAACCUUAGCAGUAUCCUGAGUACGGCGAGACACGCGAAAUCUCGUCGGAAUCUGGGAGGACCAUCUCCCAACCCUAAAUACUCUCUAGUGACCGAUAGUGAACCAGUACCGUGAGGGAAAGGUGAAAAGCACCCCGGGAGGGGAGUGAAAUAGAACCUGAAACCGUGUGCCUACAACAAGUUCGAGCCCGUUAAUGGGUGAGAGCGUGCCUUUUGUAGAAUGAACCGGCGAGUUACGAUAUGAUGCGAGGUUAAGUUGAAGAGACGGAGCCGUAGGGAAACCGAGUCUUAAUAGGGCGUCAUAGUAUCAUGUUGUAGACCCGAAACCAUGUGACCUACCCAUGAGCAGGUUGAAGGUGAGGUAAAACUCACUGGAGGACC